GUCGGUAAAACUCGUGCCAGCCACCGCGGUUAUACGAGAGGCCCAAGUCGAUAGCCACCGGCGUAGAGGGUGGUUAGGGAAUAAUCAAAACUAAAGCCGAACUCCUUCAAGGCCGUACAACGCGAACGAAUCGGAGAAGCACAACUACGAAAGUGGCUUUACUAUACCUGACUCCACGAAAGCUAAGACACAAACUGGGAUUAGAUACCCCACUAUG
rnacentral:rRNA from 1 species